AUCGCUUCUCGGCCUUUUGGCUAAGAUCAAGUGUAAAAAUUUAUCAUUUUAUUACAUGUAUUUGAUUAUCUUCA
rnacentral:snRNA from 1 species